rnacentral:tRNA from 1 species
AAAAUCUUAAGUUAAAUAAACUAUUAACCUUCAAAGUUAAAUAUAUAUAAGUAAUAUAUAGGUUUUA